UGUCUCAAUGCAGGUGUCCUGCAGAGUCAGGAGUCAGCCGACCUGUGGACGUCUCUGUGGACGUCUCUGUGGACGGUCCUGACUGUAACAACAACAGGACAGUGGGCGGAGUCAACGGAGGAGAUAAAAAGAGGAAGGAAAGGUGGAGACAGACGAGGAGAAAGGAGACAGAAGAAGAAGAAGAGAAGGAACAAUGAAGUGAUAAGUGUCACUGAUAAACACUGAGAGGAGGACGAGAAUAAAAGAAGAACACAGAGAGAAUAAAGAGACGAGUGAUGAACGCGGCGAGAAUCCACGACAAGCAGAAGUUGAAGUCGUUCUGGGAGAAGAGGAUUGUUCAGCACACUGAGCACAUGGACGACGACGAGAAGCUGAGGGGACGCAGCGCUCUGUCACGACUGAGAGAGCAGUGGACGAUCAGAUUGGACCAGAGGAACCGACACCAGCAGAGUUUCUUUGAGGAGAGAAUCAGACGAGCUGAAAUAGCCCAGCAGACUCUCAGGAGACUUCACUCAGCCUGAAAACCAGCGCUGGUUCUAUUCUGCAGCAGAUGCAUUUUUAAAAAAAAAAAACAUUUUGUUACAUUUUAUUUUACUUUGAACAGUAACUAUUAAGUAAGCUAUUUACAGUUGAAUAAAGA